GAAGAAAUAAAAAAAAUAUAAAUAUAUAUAUAUAUACAAUUUAAUUGUUAAUGGACAAUGAUACAAAUUUAUUGGGAAUGUUUCUUUAAGAUUCUAGAAUGAAAAUAAAAUUUGAACAUUUUUCUGAGGUAAAUGAAAUCAUACAAUUUUACAUAUGAAUUUUAUAUUCAUAAUUUUAUCAUUUAUUUUUAUACUUAUUAUAUAUAGCUGGUUUGUUCUGAUACAACUUAUAAGCUAAUCGAUAUAAAAAUCCGAGAAAAUGUCCUGCUAGUCGAAGACGGUAAUGGCCAGAAUGAAAUAAUAGCCCUUAGCCCAUUAGUUAAUGAAGAAAAGGAGACGCUAGAAUGGUUAUAGAAUAAAUUUAAAGAACAUAUUAAUUCCACAAGUACGAAUACAAGAGUGUUUAUUAUGGACAAAGAUAUGAAAAAGUGGACUACCCUAAAAUCUGUUUUCCGAAUUGUACAUGCUUAUUUCAUAUAUUGCGGACAUUUAACACGGAAAUAACGUGUGAUAAAUUGUAAACCAUGACCAAUGAGAAAGAUAUAUGUAAGCAAGUAUUUAAGAAACUAUGAUAAUGUAAAAAUGUAAACACAUAUACAGAGUUUAUCAACUCUGAGUUAACUCCACAUAAAGUUGUAACCUACUUUUAUAAAAAUUAGC